rnacentral:rRNA from 1 species
GACGAACGCUGGCGGCGCGCUUAACACAUGCAAGUCGAGCGAGAACCAGGGCUUCGGCCCUGGGGACAGCGGCGAACGGGUGAGUAACACGUGGAUAACCUGCCCUCGGCACCGGGAUAGCCCGGGGAAACCCGGAUUAAUACCGGAUGGCCCUUCCGGCUCACGAGCCGGUCGGAGAAGGUAGCUUCGGCCUCCGGCCGAGGCUGGGGCGGCGGCGGAUUAGCUGGGUGGUGGGGUAACGGCCCACCAAGGCUCCGAUCCGGAGCUGGUCUGAGAGGACGAUCAGCCACACUGGGACUGAGACACGGCCCAGACUCCUACGGGAGGCAGCAGUGGGGAAUCUUGCGCAAUGGGCGAAAGCCUGACGCAGCGACGCCGCGUGAGGGAGGAAGGCCUUCGGGUUGUAAACCUCUUUCAGGAGGGACGAAGCUACUCGGGUGAAUAGCCCAGAGGGUGACGGUACCUCCAGAAGAAGCCCCGGCUAACUACGUGCCAGCCGCCGCAGUAA